rnacentral:rRNA from 1 species
UACAGAGGUCUCAAGCGUUGUUCGGAUUCAUUGGGCGUAAAGGGUGCGUAGGCGGCUUAAUAAGUCAGUGGUGAAAGCCGAUCGCUUAACGAUCGAACUGCCAUUGAUACUGCUAGGCUUGAGUAUAGUUGAGGUAGGCGGAAUUGACAGUGUAGCGGUGAAAUGCAUAGAUAUUGUCAAGAACACCAAUUGCGAAGGCAGCUUACUAAAGUAUAACUGACGCUGAGGCACGAAAGUGCGGGGAUCAAACAGG